ensembl:snRNA U1 U1 spliceosomal RNA
GUACUUACCUGGUAGGGAAAUCCCAGGAUCAUGAAGAUGGUGUUCCCUGGGUGAGGCAAAGUCACUGCACUCAACAUGUGGAUUCCUGUGAUUUGUACAAAUACAGAAAACUCGCGUGCAUAAUUUGUGGCAGUGGGAGACUAUGUUCGCGCUUUCCCCUA